UAGCGCCCCGUCGAUGAAGAGUGAGUCGAUAUCCCCACAUGACUCAAUUUUGACAUGUACCACACCCGAUGCCAUCGAGGGGAUUGCAGAAACGUGAAUAAUAAUAAGAAACAAAAAUAAAACCAUCAUUCCACCAAAUAGCAACAAGUUUACAUGAAAGUUUAAGUAAUAGGAGUUGAAUUACGUGCCCUAAAUUAAUUAUUUUACAAUUAUAAUAGCCAAUAUCAGUUAGAAUUAUCUACCUGCAGUGCAAUACUGGUUCAGAGUGCUCUAAAGCACCGGUUUAGUUUUAGCGUGAAUUUGUAUUGAACUAGGUGCGAUAUAUGGCAGUAUGUUUGGAAGAAAUCAUAAGCUUAUAUUUGCUCUUUAUAUCUAUGAUUAGGUGAAAAACAGGGAAAUCUGGUCGGUAAGCAUUCCGUAGUUGUCGAAAACGUUAUCCGAGCAAGUGCGACUCAGAGGGGUUCACAAUCGUCGCGAAAAGGAGCAUUGUUGCGAAGGAAUAUUCCGAGGCUAGAUCGCUAAAAGAAUUUUAUAAUUUAUCAAUUACGCCGAAUAAAUUUAUUGAAUUUGAAUCUAGUUCCUCGCUGCUCUCGCAACAUUUUAUAAAAUUCUUUUACCAUGUCGGAGAAGUCGACGCAUUGUGUAGCAAAUCCCACUGGAGUACCAGGAAACACCGACAACAUCACCGGAGCGGCCACAGCAACGAACGCAAGUAAUGUCCCCUCCGUUGUCAUACUGCCACCUCCUAGCGUUGGAGAACAGGUAA